GGUUAAGCGACUAAGCGUACACGGUGGAUGCCCUGGCAGUCAGAGGCGAUGAAGGACGUGCUAAUCUGCGAAAAGCGUCGGUAAGGUGAUAUGAACCGUUAUAGCCGGCGAUGUCCGAAUGGGGAAACCCAGUGCAAUUCGUUGCACUAUCGUUAACUGAAUACAUAGGUUAACGAGGCGAACCGGGGGAACUGAAACAUCUAAGUACCCCGAGGAAAAGAAAUCAACCGAGAUUCCCCCAGUAGCGGCGAGCGAACGGGGAGCAGCCCGGAGUCUGAAUCAGCUUGUGUGUUAGUGGAAGCGUCUGGAAAGUCGCAGGGUACAGGGUGAUACUCCCGUACACUAAAAUGCACAGGUUGUGAACUCGAAGAGUAGGGCGGGACACGUGGUAUCCUGUCUGAAUAUGGGGGGACCAUCCUCCAAGGCUAAAUACUCCUGACUGACCGAUAGUGAACCAGUACCGUGAGGGAAAGGCGAAAAGAACCCCGGCGAGGGGAGUGAAAAAGAACCUGAAACCGUGUACGUACAAGCAGUAGGAGCCCACUUGUUGGGUGACUGCGUACCUUUUGUAUAAUGGGUCAGCGACUUAUAUUCUGUAGCAAGGUUAACCGUAUAGGGGAGCCGCAGGGAAACCGAGUCUUAACUGGGCGUUAAGUUGCAGGGUAUAGACCCGAAACCCGGUGAUCUAGCCAUGGGCAGGUUGAAGGUUGGGUAACACUAACUGGAGGACCGAACCGACUAAUGUUGAAAAAUUAGCGGAUGACUUGUGGCUGGGGGUGAAAGGCCAAUCAAACCGGGAGAUAGCUGGUUCUCCCCGAAAGCUAUUUAGGUAGCGCCUCGUGAACUCAUCUUCGGGGGUAGAGCACUGUUUCGGCUAGGGGGUCAUCCCGACUUACCAACCCGAUGCAAACUACGAAUACCGAAGAAUGUUAUCACGGGAGACACACGGCGGGUGCUAACGUCCGUCGUGAAGAGGGAAACAACCCAGACCGCCAGCUAAGGUCCCAAAGUCAUGGUUAAGUGGGAAACGAUGUGGGAAGGCCCAGACAGCCAGGAUGUUGGCUUAGAAGCAGCCAUCAUUUAAAGAAAGCGUAAUAGCUCACUGGUCGAGUCGGCCUGCGCGGAAGAUGUAACGGGGCUAAACCAUGCACCGAAGCUGCGGCAGCGACGCUUAUGCGUUGUUGGGUAGGGGAGCGUUCUGUAAGCCGUUGAAGGUGGCCUGUGAGGGUUGCUGGAGGUAUCAGAAGUGCGAAUGCUGACAUAAGUAACGAUAAUGCGGGUGAAAAACCCGCACGCCGGAAGACCAAGGGUUCCUGUCCAACGUUAAUCGGGGCAGGGUGAGUCGACCCCUAAGGCGAGGCCGAAAGGCGUAGUCGAUGGGAAACAGGUUAAUAUUCCUGUACUCGGUGUUACUGCGAAGGGGGGACGGAGAAGGCUAUGUUGGCCGGGCGACGGUUGUCCCGGUUUAAGCAUGUAGGCGGAUGUUCCAGGUAAAUCCGGAACGUUACUAACGCUGAGGUGUGAUGACGAGGCACUACGGUGCUGAAGUGACAAAUGCCCUGCUUCCAGGAAAAGCCUCUAAGCAUCAGGUAACAUCAAAUCGUACCCCAAACCGACACAGGUGGUCAGGUAGAGAAUACCAAGGCGCUUGAGAGAACUCGGGUGAAGGAACUAGGCAAAAUGGUGCCGUAACUUCGGGAGAAGGCACGCUGAUGGUAGGUGAAGUGACUUGCUCAUGGAGCUGAAAUCAGUCGAAGAUACCAGCUGGCUGCAACUGUUUAUUAAAAACACAGCACUGUGCAAACACGAAAGUGGACGUAUACGGUGUGACGCCUGCCCGGUGCCGGAAGGUUAAUUGAUGGGGUUAUCCGUAAGGAGAAGCUCUUGAUCGAAGCCCCGGUAAACGGCGGCCGUAACUAUAACGGUCCUAAGGUAGCGAAAUUCCUUGUCGGGUAAGUUCCGACCUGCACGAAUGGCGUAAUGAUGGCCAGGCUGUCUCCACCCGAGACUCAGUGAAAUUGAACUCGCUGUGAAGAUGCAGUGUACCCGCGGCAAGACGGAAAGACCCCGUGAACCUUUACUAUAGCUUGACACUGAACACUGGUCCUUGAUGUGUAGGAUAGGUGGGAGGCUUUGAAGUGUGGACGCCAGUCUGCAUGGAGCCAUCCUUGAAAUACCACCCUUUAAUGGCUGGUGUUCUAACGUGGGCCCGUAAUCCGGGUUGCGGACAGUGUCUGGUGGGUAGUUUGACUGGGGCGGUCUCCUCCUAAAGAGUAACGGAGGAGCACGAAGGUCAGCUAAUCCUGGUCGGACAUCAGGAGGUUAGUGCAAUGGCAUAAGCUGGCUUGACUGCGAGCGUGACGGCGCGAGCAGGUGCGAAAGCAGGUCAUAGUGAUCCGGUGGUUCUGAAUGGAAGGGCCAUCGCUCAACGGAUAAAAGGUACUCCGGGGAUAACAGGCUGAUACCGCCCAAGAGUUCAUAUCGACGGCGGUGUUUGGCACCUCGAUGUCGGCUCAUCACAUCCUGGGGCUGAAGUAGGUCCCAAGGGUAUGGCUGUUCGCCAUUUAAAGUGGUACGCGAGCUGGGUUUAGAACGUCGUGAGACAGUUCGGUCCCUAUCUGCCGUGGGCGCUGGAGAAUUGAGGGGGGCUGCUCCUAGUACGAGAGGACCGGAGUGGACGCAUCACUGGUGUUCGGGUUGUCAUGCCAAUGGCAUUGCCCGGUAGCUAAAUGCGGAAGAGAUAAGUGCUGAAAGCAUCUAAGCACGAAACUUGCCCCGAGAUGAGUUCUCCCUGACUCCUUGAGAGUCCUGAAGGAACGUUGAAGACGACGACGUUGAUAGGCCGGGUGUGUAAGCGCAGCGAUGCGUUGAGCUAACCGGUACUAAUGAACCGUGAGGCUUAACCUU
rnacentral:rRNA from 1 species